AAAAAGGAUACAUGCAUCCAUUGAUGAAGAUUUGAUACAAAUAUAUGAAGGAAAAGUGUCUGAGGGUAUCUUUAAGUACAUUACAAAGGGACCAGAUUAUGUUAGAGCUUCGGUCCAAGGGGAUGAUACAGAUGAUACUAUUGACGAUGAGAUACAGAAGUUCCUUAGUUGCAGGUAUAUUUCAGCGUGUGAAGCAACUUGGAGAAUACUAGCUUUUCCUACGCAUUACCGAACAACCACAGUAGUUAAGCUUUCCUUCCAUUUACCUAAUCAGCAAAUGGCAAUUUAUAAUGAAGAUGACCCUAUUGAUGAUGUUUUAAAUCGUUCUGCGGUAUUGCGGUCAAAGUUUCUAGCAUGGAUGGAGGAGAACUGUAAAUAUCCGGAAGCAAGAGGUCUAACGUAUGCGGAAUUCCCCACAAGGUUCGUUUGGGUACAAAAGACGAGAGAGUGGAAGCCACGUGACAAAGGUUUUGCAAUAGGAAGGAUUACAUAUGUUCCACCUAAAUAUGUUAACUCAUAUUUCUUCCGUUCCUUAGUAAUAGACUUUUUAGAAAAAAAGUUUGUUUCAGAAAGAUGUAUUUUUUUGUGUUUUCUAUGAAAAAAUUGUAAACUUCAAGAAAAUUAAUUGAUUUUAUUGAAUUACUAUUAGUUAAAAGUUAUUAAAAUUAAAAAUUACAGAAAACAGUAUAGUUAUUAUGGUAAUUUAAUGUGUUUUCUUAAUAUGUGUGAAAAUACUAAAAAGUCUAUUUUUUAAAAAGAGAGAGAGAGAGUACUAUCUAAGAGUUUUGCUCAACAUAGUUAAAGGCCCAAGGAGUUAUGAAAAGAUACGUACAGUCAAAGGUAUUGUUUAUAAGACAUAUAUAAGGAUGCAAGUUAUGCAUUGGGAUUAUUGGAUGAUGAUAAAAAGUAUAUCGAAGCAAUUAACGAAGCCAGUUUAUGGGGAACAUGGAACUUUUUAAGAAAGCUAUUUGCUAUAAUGUUAUUUUCUAAUAGUAUGGCUAUGCCUGUUAAAGUUUGGAACGCAACAUGGAGAAUCUUGACAAAAGAUAUAUUACACAAAUUAAGAAAGGAAAAUAAUAACCAAAGUAAGUUAUGUUCUUCUUUGUUUAUUAUACGUGUGUGGUAUUUAACCCCUUUUUGUCUUUAGGUGUCUUGAGUCCACAGAAUGAAGAUGUCGACAAGAUCAAUGAAUAUAUGCUAUCUCAAAUAAAAGGUAAAUCUUUUGUCUGAUGUUUAUUUUGUGUGUUUUAGAAGAAGUAUUUGGUUUCAUGUCAAAUCAUUAAUGUUGAUUAUUUUCUAUUGAAUAUUUGAAUAGGUAAGGAGCGUUCGUAUCUCAGUUCAGAUAAUAUAGAUACUUCUGAUACAAGUAAAAUAGGUGAUAUGGUGUACACUCAAGAAUAUUUAAACAGCAUUAAGAUCUUUGGAUUACCAAAUCAUGAUCUAAAGUUGAAAAUCGGUGCACCUAUUAUGCUGCUUAGGAAUAUUGACCCUAAAGGUGGACUAUGCAAUGGUACAAGGUUACUUGUAACACAAUUAGCAAAUCACGUCAUUCAAGCCAAGUUUAUAACCGGUGAUAAAGUUGGCCAAAAAGUUUUGCUCCCAAGAAUGUUUGUUUCUCCACCAUAAACCAGAUUUCCGUUUAGGAUGAGACAGAGACAAUUUCCUGUUGCUCUUGCUUUUAGGACAUUAUUAUGAUGCAUCUUAACUGUUUAAUAUUCUCAAAAUCAUUGUGCCCGCGUCCACGCGGG